AAACCAACAGGGAUUGCCCCAGUAACGGCGAGUGAAGCGGCAACAGCUCAAAUUUGAAAUCUGGCCCCCCGGCCCGAGUUGUAAUUUGGAGAGGAUGCUUUUGGCGCGGCGCCGUCCGAGUUCCUUGGAACAGGACGCCACAGAGGGUGAGAGCCCCGUACGGUCGGACGCCUAGCCUAUACAAAGCUCCUUCGACGAGUCGAGUAGUUUGGGAAUGCUGCUCAAAAUGGGAGGUAAAUUUCUUCUAAAGCUAAAUACCGGCCAGAGACCGAUAGCGCACAAGUAGAGUGAUCGAAAGAUGAAAAGCACUUUGAAAAGAGGGUUAAAAAGUACGUGAAAUUGUUGAAAGGGAAGCGCCUGUGACCAGACUUGCGCCCCGUGGACCAUCCGGCGUUCUCGCCGGUGCACUCUGCGGGGCGCAGGCCAGCAUCGGUUCUCCUAGGGGGAUAAAGGCCGCGGGAACGUAGCUCCUUCGGGAGUGUUAUAGCCCGUGGUGGCAUGCCCCUGGGGGGACCGAGGACCGCGCUUCGGCAAGGAUGCUGGCGUAAUGGUCACCAGCGAC
rnacentral:rRNA from 1 species